CAGACGAUCUCGCUCGCACGCUCGUCGUGAAUCCUUUAUCCCCGGAGUUUAUUCCCCGUACGUUUUAUUUAGUCAGAGUCCAGGUCACGUUUUAUUUUAUUUUAUAUUUUUCGUAAAUUAAUAAAAUUCUUAUUGCUGACAAAUUAAAAAUUUUAUUUAUUUUAAUUUAAAUAAAAACUUAUGAUUUUGUAACUUUUGUAGGAUUUCUCGCGUCCGCAAUUUCGCUUGUGGUUUGACCGAGCGACCCAAUUAUACCAAAGAGAGGAUAGGGCUUUCUACCUCACUGCACCUAGUGCAAAAGCUUCUCCAACAUUUUCUGUAUAUACUGUUCCAGGUGAUUCAGAUUUUUCAUCAACGAGAUUCCAUCUGUCUAAUCGUGUAGUUUAGCGUCUCAAGUUCGUUCGAGUAUCGUUACCGGGAGUUUACUCUCGUCAAGAAUGACUAAUUGAUUAGUACCGAAACUACUUAACAAAGAUGCUGAGUGUUACGUCUGACGAAGGAGGACUAGGAAUUCACUAGUUCUUCGAAUAAUUAUGUGAAUAAUUAUCGCCAUCAAGUCAACUGUAUUUCAUCUAAAUUCAGUAUUUUAAUUAAUAUUCAAAAAUUAUAACAUUUUCAUCUUAUUUUCAAUUAUUAAAUGAAAUACUCAAGCAAGUAAGUUAAAUAAAAUCCGAUCCAAUUAAAACACGGGCAGCAGCAAGUUGAAAAAUAUUUUAUUUUUUUUAUAUUCUAUGAAUAAAUUAUAUCGGCUUUAAUAUUUAAUUAUCAUUGUUCUUAAUUAAUUUACUAUGUUAAUGAGGAUUAUUAUUACUCAGCUCUACACUAAGCAUAAAUAAUUUUUAUAUUUUAAAAACCCUGUCAUUGGGAUAUUUGAUAUUCUUUUAAAAAGAGAAAAUU